CGUGAUGUUGACUGGAAGUGAGUGGCCAUGGAUGGGAUCUUCCCUGCGACGUGGAGGACGAGGCGGCGGGAGCAGCCGGCAUUACCCUGGGCCAGCCCUGCAUGGACAUCAAGGGGCCAUGCACUAAACCCCGACAAGCUCAGGGAGGCUGCAGGGCAGCCCCACAAACUCGGAACCGGAAGUAACCACCAGGACGGUCGGAACAUACAGAUCCCAGACUAACAGCGGGUCCCUCCGAGGCCUGCAGCUUCCUUGACAAAGGCCAGUCUUCCCCUUGACUAAGCCUGGUGUGGUCUGUUCGCAUCUACAGCCGACCUUGGGAUGGCGGAGUCAUCUCCCUGGCAGACCCCUCCUUGUCACCUUGUCCCCCUCAUACAUCUCUACGUGCAGUAAAUUUUAACAACCCUGUACCCACCAA